rnacentral:lncRNA from 1 species
AUGAAUACAUGUACUACAUUCCUAUCGUUAAAAACUACAUCCUAUAAAAUUAAACUACCUAUUUUAACAUCAAACCGAUUUAUACACAUAAGCCAGUUAUGUAAAGAUAGAAAAAGUACAAACUCUUUAAUAAAACUUAAUAAAAACAGUUCCCAAAUAUGUAAACAAACAAACAAUAAUGUAGUGUGUAAUGAAAAAAACACUAACUCGGAACAUAGCAAAAAUAACGAUUUUAUUCAAUAUGUUUUUAAAUGGGGUAUAGGCAAUAGGUUUCGUUCGGAUCCUGAAAAUAGGUUUCACCCCGUUCAUCUUAAACGUUCGAAAGAGGUGACCAUUAGAAAAAAUUAUUUUGAUUCAACUUGUGAAAAUAUAAAAUAUGAAGAAUUAAAUGAACAAUGGGAAGUUUUUUGGUACGAAAAUAAUAAACUAAAUGGUAAACCUUUUCCUAUUAAAAAAUAUGGUAUAGAUGCAGCUAAAAAAAAUGGCAUUUGAUUUUUUCGAAUCAUUAAAAAAAAAUGAUCAAGUAAAACCAAAACCUCAGUACGAAUCGGGCGUAGAAGGUAUAAUAAUGGAAUUUAAAAAAAAAAAAAAAAAAAAAAAAAAAAAAAAAAAAAUAUUAAUAUAUAUAUUAAGCUCACCAUAUGCGGAAUAUUUUAAAUUAUUACCAUCUUAUACAUUAUUUUUUACAGACGUUCAUUACGAUACUAUUACCAAUUGUUGGGUUGCUUUCUACCGAGAAAACAAUAUACCCUUAUCGAGAUCCUUUUCAGUUGAAUAUCAUGGAUUUGAAACAGCCAAAAAACUAGCAAUAGAUCGAGUCCAUAAUGCUAAAAGAGACAAAAUAAAAAAUUAAAAUUAUAUUACUUUAUUUUAUAU